GAUGAACGCUGGCGGCGUGCCUAAUACAUGCAAGUCGAGCGAACAGAUGAGGAGCUUGCUCCUCUGACGUUAGCGGCGGACGGGUGAGUAACACGUGGAUAACCUACCUAUAAGACUGGGAUAACUUCGGGAAACCGGAGCUAAUACCGGAUAAUAUAUUGAACCGCAUGGUUCAAUAGUGAAAGACGGUUUUGCUGUCACUUAUAGAUGGCUCCGCGCCGCAUUAGCUAGUUGGUAAGGUAACGGCUUACCAAGGCAACGAUGCGUAGCCGACCUGAGAGGGUGAUCGGCCACACUGGAACUGAGACACGGUCCAGACUCCUACGGGAGGCAGCAGUAGGGAAUCUUCCGCAAUGGGCGAAAGCCUGACGGAGCAACGCCGCGUGAGUGAUGAAGGUCUUCGGAUCGUAAAACUCUGUUAUUAGGGAAGAACAAAUGUGUAAGUAACUAUGCACGUCUUGACGGUACCUAAUCAGAAAGCCACGGCUAACUACGUG
rnacentral:rRNA from 1 species